CAGUCGAGCGGUACAGGUCCAGCUUGCUGGCAUGCGUGACGAGCGGCGGACGGGUGAGUAAUGCAUAGGAAUCUGCCCGAUAGUGGGGGAUAACCUGGGGAAACCCAGGCUAAUACCGCAUACGUCCUACGGGAGAAAGGGGGCUCCGGCUCCCGCUAUGGGAUGAGCCUAUGUCGGAUUAGCUAGUUGGUGAGGUAACGGCUCACCAAGGCCACGAUCCGUAGCUGGUCUGAUAGGAUGAUCAGCCACAUCGGGACUGAGACACGGCCCGAACUCCUACGGGAGGCAGCAGUGGGGAAUAUUGGACUAUGGGGGAGACCCUGAUCCAGCCAUGCCGCGUGUGUGAAUAAGGCCCUCGGUUUGUAAAGCACUUUCAGCGAGGAAGAACGCCUAGCGGUUAAUACCCGCUAGGAUAGACAUCUCUCGCAGAACAAGCACCGGCUAACUCCGUG
rnacentral:rRNA from 1 species